GCGAACUGGUGAGUAACACGUGGGAAACCUGCCCAGAAGCGGGGGAUAACACCUGGAAACAGAUGCUAAUACCGCAUAACAACUUGGACCGCAUGGUCCGAGCUUGAAAGAUGGCUUCGGCUAUCACUUUUGGAUGGUCCCGCGGCGUAUUAGCUAGAUGGUGGGGUAACGGCUCACCAUGGCAAUGAUACGUAGCCGACCUGAGAGGGUAAUCGGCCACAUUGGGACUGAGACACGGCCCAAACUCCUACGGGAGGCAGCAGUAGGGAAUCUUCCACAAUGGACGAAAGUCUGAUGGAGCAACGCCGCGUGAGUGAAGAAGGGUUUCGGCUCGUAAAACUCUGUUGUUAAAGAAGAACAUAUCUGAGAGUAACUGUUCAGGUAUUGACGGUAUUUAACCAGAAAGCCACGGCUAACUACGUGCCAGCAGCCGCGGUAAUACGUAGGUGGCAAGCGUUGUCCGGAUUUAUUGGGCGUAAAGCGAGCGCAGGCGGUUUUUUAAGUCUGAUGUGAAAGCCUUCGGCUCAAACCGAAGAAGUGCAUCGGAAACUGGGAAACUUGAGUGCAGAAGAGGACAGUGGACUCCAUGUGUAGCGGUGAAAUGCGUAGAUAUAUGGAAGAACACCAGUGGCGAAGGCGGCUGUCUGGUCUGUAACUGACGCUGAGGCUCGAAAGUAUGGGUAGCAAACAGGAUUAGAUACCCUGGUAGUCCAUACCGUAAACGAUGAAUGCUAAGUGUUGGAGGGUUUCCGCCCUUCAGUGCUGCAGCUAACGCAUUAAGCAUUCCGCCUGGGGAGUACGGCCGCAAGGCUGAAACUCAAAGGAAUUGACGGGGGCCCGCACAAGCGGUGGAGCAUGUGGUUUAAUUCGAAGCUACGCGAAGAACCUUACCAGGUCUUGACAUACUAUGCAAAUCUAAGAGAUUAGACGUUCCCUUCGGGGACAUGGAUACAGGUGGUGCAUGGUUGUCGUCAGCUCGUGUCGUGAGAUGUUGGGUUAAGUCCCGCAACGAGCGCAACCCUUAUUAUCAGUUGCCAGCAUUUAAAGUUGGGCACUCUGGUGAGACUGCCGGUGACAAACCGGAGGAAGGUGGGGAUGACGUCAAAUCAUCAUGCCCCUUAUGACCUGGGCUACACACGUGCUACAAUGGAUGGUACAACGAGUUGCGAACUCGCGAGAGUAAGCUAAUCUCUUAAAGCCAUUCUCAGUUCGGAUUGUAGGCUGCAACUCGCCUACAUGAAGUCGGAA
rnacentral:rRNA from 1 species